GGGUUGUGAGGUUAAGCGACUAAGCGUACACGGUGGAUGCCCUGGCAGUCAGAGGCGAUGAAGGGCGUGCUAAUCUGCGAUAAGCGCCGGUAAGGUGAUAUGAACCGUUAUAACCGGCGAUACCCGAAUGGGGAAACCCAGUGUGAUUCGUCACACUAUCAUUAACUGAAUCCAUAGGUUAAUGAGGCGAACCGGGGGAACUGAAACAUCUAAGUACCCCGAGGAAAAGAAAUCAACCGAGAUUCCCCCAGUAGCGGCGAGCGAACGGGGAGGAGCCCAGAGCCUGAAUCAGCAUGUGUGUUAGUGGAAGCGUCUGGAAAGGCGCGCGAUACAGGGUGACAGCCCCGUACACAAAAGCGCAUGUGCUGUGAGCUCGAUGAGUAGGGCGGGACACGUGGUAUCCUGUCUGAAUAUGGGGGGACCAUCCUCCAAGGCUAAAUACUCCUGACUGACCGAUAGUGAACCAGUACCGUGAGGGAAAGGCGAAAAGAACCCCGGCGAGGGGAGUGAAAAAGAACCUGAAACCGUGUACGUACAAGCAGUGGGAGCACCCUUUGGGUGUGACUGCGUACCUUUUGUAUAAUGGGUCAGCGACUUAUAUUCUGUAGCAAGGUUAACCGAAUAGGGGAGCCGGAGGGAAACCGAGUCUUAACCGGGCGUUAAGUUGCAGGGU
rnacentral:rRNA from 1 species